rnacentral:rRNA from 1 species
UGUGAACUCGAAGAGUAGGGCGGGACACGUGGUAUCCUGUCUGAAUAUGGGGGGACCAUCCUCCAAGGCUAAAUACUCCUGACUGACCGAUAGUGAACCAGUACCGUGAGGGAAAGGCGAAAAGAACCCCGGCGAGGGGAGUGAAAAAGAACCUGAAACCGUGUACGUACAAGCAGUGGGAGCACCUUCGGGUGUGACUGCGUACCUUUUGUAUAAUGGGUCAGCGACUUAUAUUCUGUAGCAAGGUUAACCGUAUAGGGGAGCCGCAGGGAAACCGAGUCUUAACUGGGCGUUAAGUUGCAGGGUAUAGACCCGAAACCCGGUGAUCUAGCCAUGGGCAGGUUGAAGGUUGGGUAACACUAACUGGAGGACCGAACCGACUAAUGUUGAAAAAUUAGCGGAUGACUUGUGGCUGGGGGUGAAAGGCCAAUCAAACCGGGAGAUAGCUGGUUCUCCCCGAAAGCUAUUUAGGUAGCGCCUCGUGAAUUCAUCUUCGGGGGUAGAGCACUGUUUCGGCUAGGGGGUCAUCCCGACUUACCAACCCGAUGCAAACUACGAAUACCGAAGAAUGUUAUCACGGGAGACACACGGCGGGUGCUAACGUCCGUCGUGAAGAGGGAAACAACCCAGACCGCCAGCUAAGGUCCCAAAGUCAUGGUUAAGUGGGAAACGAUGUGGGAAGGCACAGACAGCCAGGAUGUUGGCUUAGAAGCAGCCAUCAUUUAAAGAAAGCGUAAUAGCUCACUGGUCGAGUCGGCCUGCGCGGAAGAUGUAACGGGGCUAAACCAUGCACCGAAGCUGCGGCAGCGACACUAUGUGUUGUUGGGUAGGGGAGCGUUCUGUAAGCCUGCGAAGGUGACCUGUGAGGGUUGCUGGAGGUAUCAGAAGUGCGAAUGCUGACAUAAGUAACGAUAAAGCGGGUGAAAAGCCCGCUCGCCGGAAGACCAAGGGUUCCUGUCCAACGUUAAUCGGGGCAGGGUGAGUCGACCCCUAAGGCGAGGCCGAAAGGCGUAGUCGAUGGGAAACAGGUUAAUAU